rnacentral:siRNA from 1 species
AGUGAUAAGGCAGGGCCUGCUGGU